CCUACGGGAGGCUGCAGUGAGGAAUAUUGGUCAAUGGGCGCGAGCCUGAACCAGCCAAGUCGCGUGAGGGAGGACGGCCCUACGGGUUGUAAACCUCUUUUGCCGGGGAGCAACGGGCGUCACGUGUGGCGUCACUGAGAGUACCCGGAGAAAAAGCAUCGGCUAACUCCGUGCCAGCAGCCGCGGUAAUACGGAGGAUGCGGGCGUUAUCCGGUUUUAUGGGGUUUAAAGGGUGCGUAGGCGGAUCGUAAACUCAGUGGUCAAGUUGAGGGGCUAAACACCUUCGCGCCAUUGAAACUGGCGAUCUUGAGUGGAAGAGAGGUAUGCGGAAUGCGUGGUGUAGCGGUGAAAUGCAUAGAUAUCACGCAGAACCCCGAUUGCGAAGGCAGCAUGCCGGCUUCCGACGGACGCUGAAGCACGAAAGCGUGGGGAUCGAACAGGAUUAGAUACCCUUGUAGUC
rnacentral:rRNA from 1 species